UACGUAGGGUGCAAGCGUUAAUCGGAAUUACUGGGCGUAAAGCGUGCGCAGGCGGUUUUGUAAGACAGAGGUGAAAUCCCCGGGCUCAACCUGGGAACUGCCUUUGUGACUGCGAAGGCUGGAGUGCGGCAGAGGGGGAUGGAAUUCCGCGUGUAGCAGUGAAAUGCGUAGAUAUGCGGAGGAACACCGAUGGCGAAGGCAAUCCCCUGGGCCUGCACUGACGCUCAUGCACGAAAGCGUGGGGAGCAAACAGG
rnacentral:rRNA from 1 species